AUUGAACGCUGGCGGCAGGCCUAACACAUGCAAGUCGAGCGGAGCGGCGGACGGGCGAGUAAUGCCUAGGAAUCUGCCUGGUAGUUGGGGAUAACGUCAGGAAACGGGCGCUAAUACAGCAUCCGAUCAGCUGAGCCUAGGUCGGAUUAGCUAGUUGGUGGGGUAAAGGCGUACCAAGGCGACGAUCCGUAACUGGUCUGAGAGGGUGAUCAGUCACACUGGAACUGAGACACGGUCCAGACUCCUACGGGAGGCAGCAGUGGGGAAUAUUGGGCAAUGGGCGAAAGCCUGAUCCAGCCAUGCCGCGUGAGUGAAGAAGGUCUUCGGAUUGUAAAGCACUUUAAGUUGGGAGGCGUUACCAACAGAGUAAGCCCCGGCUAACUUCGUGCCAGCAGCCGCGGUAAUAC
rnacentral:rRNA from 1 species